rnacentral:lncRNA from 1 species
UUGAUGAGGCCUCAUGUUCAACCACCUUGUCCUUUGACUUGGUCAUAGAUAUCUCCAUGACAUUUACCUUGGUAGUUGCAUUGGCCGUUGACUUGACUUGAGUUGUGUUGGUCUUUACUAUGCCAUGUGCCAUGUCCAUCAAGUCACCAAGGUUUGCACCUUUGUUGAACUUGAGGACUUCCUUACCAUUCACCACCUUCCAUUCAUUUACCUUGCUCCUCUUGUA